rnacentral:rRNA from 1 species
UUGCAGUCUGCAACUCGACUGCAUGAAGUCGGAAUCGCUAGUAAUCGCGGAUCAGCAUGCCGCGGUGAAUACGUUCCCGGGCCUUGUACACACCGCCCGUCACACCAUGAGAGUCGGGAACACCCGAAGUCCGUAGCCUAACCGCAAGGGGGCGCGGCCGAAGGUGGGUUCGAUAAUUGGGGUGAAGUCGUAACAAGGUACC